rnacentral:rRNA from 1 species
CCUUGGCCUUGACAUACUAAGAACUUUCCAGAGAUGGAUUGGUGCCUUCGGGAACUUAGAUACAGGUGCUGCAUGGCUGUCGUCAGCUCGUGUCGUGAGAUGUUGGGUUAAGUCCGCAACGAGCGCAACCCUUUUCCUAUUUGCCAGCGGGUAAUGCCGGGAACUUUAAGGAUACUGCCAGUGACAAACUGGAGGAAGGCGGGGACGACGUCAAGUCAUCAUGGCCCUUACGGCCAGGGCUACACACGUGCUACAAUGGUCGGUACAAAGGGUUGCUACCUCGCGAGAGGAUGCUAAUCUCAAAAAGCCGAUCGUAGUCCGGAUCGCAGUCUGCAACUCGACUGCGUGAAGUCGGAAUCGCUAGUAAUCGCGGAUCAGAAUGCCGCGGUGAAUACGUUCCCGGGCCUUGUACACACCGCCCGUCACACCAUGGGAGUUUGUUGCACCAGAAGUAGGUAGUCUAACCGCAAGGAGGACGCUUACCACGGUGUGGCCGAUGACUGGGGUGAAGUCGUAACAAGGUAAGCGUAGAUGA